rnacentral:rRNA from 1 species
CAGCAGCCGCGGUAAUACGUAGGGUGCGAGCGUUAAUCGGAAUUACUGGGCGUAAAGCGUGCGUAGGCGGCUUCUUAAGUCGGAUGUGAAAUCCCUGAGCUUAACUUAGGAAUUGCAUUCGAUACUGGGAAGCUAGAGUAUGGGAGAGGAUGGUAGAAUUCCAGGUGUAGCGGUGAAAUGCGUAGAGAUCUGGAGGAAUACCGAUGGCGAAGGCAGCCAUCUGGCCUAAUACUGACGCUGAGGUACGAAAGCAUGGGGAGCAAACAGGAUUAGAUACCCCUGUAGUCCCUGUCUCUUAUAA